ensembl:lncRNA
AUGUGCGAGUGUGCAUGUGGGUUUGCACACGCGUGUGCACAUACACACGCACACACACGCACACUAAUGCACACAUGCACGCGCAAACAUAUGCAUGAGCGCACACUCCGCAAGGAUCCCUCAAGAGCUGAAGUUACAAGUAGUUGCUGGGAACCACACACUCCAAGAACAGUAAACACUCUUAAUCACUGAGCCAUCUCUCUUGCCUCCACCUCUGCCUCAGAGUUCUGGGGUGACAGAUGCGGGCCACCCAGUUUAGAUGAGUUGUAAGGUUUUCUUUUUUCCUUUUAAAAAAAACAAUAGGGUUGCAUGUAGCCCAGGACCCUGAUCUUCUGAUCCUCCUGCCUCCACUUCCUGAGUGCUGGGAUCACAGGCAUGCAUCACACACAUGUUCUGUGUAGCGCUGGGAAUAGAACUCUGGGCUUUGUGUACCCUAGGCAAGCCUUCUACCAGCUGAGCCCCUGGAUGAGUUUUGAUAGCCAUACAUAUAUGAGAGAGAAACAUUUCUCUGGCCCACGGGAGCUCCUCUGUUUCCCCUUCAAGUUGGCCCCUGUCCCUGCUCUAGAAGUCGCUACACACGGGAUGACACAGCCCAUGUCCAUGUGAGGGGCAUGGGGUGGCAUACACUGCAGUAAGUACACUUGGUCCUGAUGAGCUGUCCCGACCUGCACAUGUCCCACAGACUGUACAGCUGCUUACAGCUGUUGGAUAGCUGCUGCUUCCCCAUCCGCAGCUGCUGCUUCCCCCAUCCGCAGCUGCUCUGCUGCCCAUCCGCAGCUGCUGCUUCCCCAUCCGCAGCUGCAGCAUCCCCCAUCCGCAGCUGCUGCUUCCCCCAUCCGCAGCUGCUGCUUCCCCAUCCGCAGCUGCUGCUUCCCCAUCCGCAGCUGCUUUACAAUGCACAUGGCACUUCAGGCCUUGACAAACACUCGGGAUGGGCUCACAGGGCCACACACACAAAAAGCAUGUCUUUUAUGGUCUCCCCAGGAGCUGCAGCUGUCCCCAGGGGCUGGGGUCCUCCAGUCUGCUGUCUGUCUGUAUACUCUCCUCUAUUCAGAUGAGAUGAUACCUCUGAGGCUCUGGGUCUCCUCUGGGUUACAGCAGAAUCACUUUUGCUGAUGAAUGGUGCAGGGUCAGGUCACGCUACAGUCUGCUUCACUUGGCUCUGAAAGCUGAGCCGAUCUGGAUGCUUUGUUCUGACUAAUGAUGAGCUGCUCACACUGGGGCUAAAAGCCAUCAAGAUGAUGGAGACGGGAACAUUCCAGAUGCCAGGGAUCUCCAGGGUUUAGGCUUUCCCUGACAGUCUAGACAUCAAAUGCACUGUUAAAAUGUAUAAUUCUCAGUCCCUCCUCUACACCCACCAGCGGCUUCCAGGAGACCAAUGGCAGCAGCAGAGGCACUAGAGCUUAGAAUCAAUGGUGACAGGAAUCCAGGUGUGUCCUCUGGUUUUUAAAAAUGGUUGAGCUUCAUUGUCAACCUGACAGGGUUUAGAAUCACGUAGGAGACACACCUUUGUGAGUGUCUGUUAAGGAGAACCCAGAGAGAUUUAACUGAGGAGGGAAAGCCCAUCCCAAAUGUGGGUGGCAUCAUCCCCAGGCUGGGACCCCAAUAAAAGGGAGAAAUCGAGCUGAGUGCACCGGUAUUUACCUGUUUCUGCUUCCUGACUGCAGAUUCCAUGAGAGUAGCCACACAGAUUACACCCCUCCCCUCUGCUGUGAGCCAAUGGAAACCCCGCCUUCCUUAAGUUACUUUUGUUUGGUACUUUGUCACAGCAAAGUGAAAAGUCAUACAAGGCUUCACCUUGCUGAUUGUCAGUUUUCUUGUCCAUAGAAUGGGUGCAUUAUGGAUGCUAGCUCAUACCACCUAGGUAUACAGAGUGGAGGAGAGGAGGCUUCCGUAGACAGGGCAGCAGAUGGGGGUGAGGCAGCAGAGGGAGCGGUAAUUUGAGCCUGUGCCAUUAUCUGAGGUUUUCUCUAAGAGGUGGUGAAACUGGGCUGCAUGCCAGACUCCCGAUGCUCGCCUAGCCUUGGAACAUAGCCCCCACCAGUGUGGAUCCGUGAGGAGCCUCGGUCUGGAGUGCAGACACAGAUGGCGUGUGAUGGAUGAGGAGGAAGUUAGGACCAAGCCAGAGAAAGCCAGGGUCAAGUAAAAGGGACAGAUGCAGUUUUGUUCUUGCCUUUUGACUCUGCUCUACAAUACCCUCCCCCUACACCUGCCCACCUAGCCAGGUUCCAGCCAGGCUAGAGUGGUCUCUGGCCACAAAGACAUCACAGAGUCUGAUGGUUACCUCAGCAAUGUCCUAGCACCCUUUGUAAGGGAGAUGUUCCAGGCCAGGCCAAGGGCUCUGCUUCUGCACUUAAAGGAGGCAUUGGGAACAGCGCUCUCACCUUCUCCUUGGGCUCCUUCCUGCAGUGUGUAUCCCUCCCUCAGGUCUCCCACCCACCUUCUCUAAACCUCUCUGAAUGGCCUGUGUACUUAGCUCUCUGCCACCCAAGAGCCAGGGCAGCUCAUCUCUGAGACUCAGGGAUGGGGCCCAGUGCUCGAGGUCUAUAUUAGUUACCUCUCCAGCUGCUGAGAUAAAUAUUUCACAAAAGCAACUUAAGGAGUGAAACGGUUUAUCUCGGCACACAGUUCAAGGACGCAGUCUAUCAUGGCGGGGAAGGCAUGGCAGCAGGAGUGUGUGGCAGCUGGUCACGUGACCUCCACAGUCAGGAAGCAGAGAGAUGGAUGCUGGUGUUCAGCCCGCUUUCUCCUUCCUGUUCAGCCCAGGAUCCCAGCCCAGGGAUUGCUCUUCUGGCCUAAAGUAACCCAAUCUAGAAACACUCUUAGACACAGCUCCUAGGUGAUUCUACACCCUGACAAACUGACAAUAUCAGCUGUCAUAGGGGUCCCUAUGAGAAGAAACUGUGUCACAGCAGUAGCAGGGCCUCCGGGUGCUGUGACAGUACCGAUGGGGGAGACAGCUGGCACAGGCUCUGCACAGAAGUUGUCCUGAGAUAUCUAGGGAGUGUCACGUCUCAGGUGACUGGAUGAACAACAGCAGAUGUCCACUUAGGCAUGAGAUGGUCCCCCCUGCCUUCUCCCCUCUGGGCCAAAGUCACCCCCACAAACAGGUCACCAGACACUAGUGUGAUAAUGAUGUGUCUAAGUACCGAGUGCUAACUGAUUGCGCCACUGGAGCAUGCUUGUGGGAAUGGUUUGUUCAGUGCUCAGGGCUAUAUAUUUUGUACAGAAUUUUAUUUUUAAGUUUUAAAAGUUGUGUGUGUGUGCAAGCACGUGUGUGCUCGUGUCUGCGUGCCUGUUUGUGUGCAUGCUUACAAACACACCCAUGAGGAGAUCAGAGGAUCACUUGCGGGAGUAGGUUCUUUCCCUCAGCUUGUGGUUCCUGGCGGGUUGACUCAGGUCAUCAGACUUAGAGGCAAGUGCCGCAUCCCACUAAGUCAUCUCAUUUCACCGACUACUGGUGAUGCCAGCAAAGUUACUCAUCCUGAAAAACCUGCUUGAGCCACAUUCUAAACAAUUACUGCCAUUGGUGGUGGUAGUCAAUGUCCCUGUGCUUAACGAUGAGCCCUAGCUGAGCCCUAAUCACCAGCCGCCAGCCUGCUCCCAACUCAUUUCAAACACACAUCCUUGGGGUUGGGGGACACUGGAAACUCCACCCCAGGGUGGAGCUAAAUGAACCUGGCCACAGUGGCUGCAGAGCAGUGACAGAAUGUGGCAGUCUGUGCGUCUUUGGAGUUUGGGUUGUUUAAGACUGAUGCCAGAUGUGGUUGACACAUGCCUGUAAUGCAGCAGAGGUGGAGGCAGGAGAAUCAGUAGUUCAAGACCAGCUUUGACUACUAUUUACUUUGAGGGCAGCCUGGGGUAAAUGAGACAUCACACACACACACACACACACACACACACACACACACACACACACACACACACACAUACACACACCCCACUACCACCACCAGCAACAACAACCUCAGAAAACUCAAAAGCAAGCACAGCCAUUUUAGUUCAUGAUCAGACAAAAUAAUUUUGUUUCAUAAAGGAUGGAGUAUGUAUGGAGACACAGUUGUCCCUAGGGACAUCCUGGGUGUCACCGCACAGUGACACUUCCACCCAUGAUGCUGAGCAGGGGAUACCAAAGAUGAAAGCAAUGCUUUGUGGAAUGACCAGGAUGCUGGCUUCUUCCAUUGGAGCUCUUGGCUUUCAGAUGAGGAGGUCUGGGCCUGAGGGGAGGGACCGGGUGUCUCAAUACAGCAAAGCUCUGAGACUCAAGGCUGAGGCUACAUGUGAAGGGACGGGCUCUGACCUUCAGGGCCAGCAGGAUCAAUAUUUUCAUCUCAGUGUGAACAGGGCCCAGCUAAGUGGGACCAGUAAAGACUCUGCUCAAGAUCAUACCCAGUUAGGGUUUGAACCCCAGGCAUCUAAGGUACCAACCCUUUAGAUUCCCUCCCAUCAGGGUACCAAUCAACAAAGGAAAACAACUCCUCUCCAAUCCCAAACAGAACAAAAUGUUUAACAGAAACACAGGUGACACCUAGAGUGGCCACUCCAUACUUGUCCCCAUGAGGCAUAGCUGGGUCUCCUCCUCCCGUGAAGCAAUCUCCUUUGGCAAGCAGUGCUUCCCCAGGACCAGCUGUUUGUCUGUGACAAAAGUUGGUGACCUUCCAUGUCCCUCCCACAGCCACCUCUAACCCUGCCUGCUCCACCUCUCCCCUGGGUCAGGGGUGCAGCAUGGUCUGGUGACCUGCACUUGAAUGCUGAGUGACUCUGGGCACCCUCUUGCCUCCUUGCUCCACCCUCAGUACAGACUGGCAACCCCAGGAUGGCGCCUGCCUCCCCACCAUAAGCUUCUUAUUUGGCCUGGGAGGUGUAGGGUGUUUAUCUCAUGUACUGUGGGACAGCUACACGUGGGAACACAUAUCUACACAUUCAACAUGGUGAUAUUGGAUGCAAACGUGACGUGUCCUAGCUGCCCUGGUACCUGGGGUGAGUCACAGCUUUGCCCAAGGAAGGGGUCUGGCCUCCACUUUGCCACAGUCACCGCCACUCCCUAUUGCCACAUGUCUAGCCCGAUUUCAUCUUCCUGGAAGGAUCUUUCUGGGAAUGCGAAUGCAUCAUUCCUGCCCCUUUGCACACGCCACUGUCUUCCAGACUCACUGCUUCUCCACAAGGUCUUUCUUUCCUGGGGUCCCCCUUGCCCCGACUGACUCCUCACAUUGUCAUAGCCAGAUUUGCCUAGCCUCUGUCAGCUGCCAGACAUGGCCAUGCCAACCUACCAGUCUGAGCCACCAGCACAUGGGAGAGGUCCCUCACAGCCCCCGCAGAAAGUUCUAACUUUGGAAGAGUCUGAUGACCCAUCUUGCUUCAGUCCUACAUCACUGCCCCUCGAAUGCUCGCUUUGAGCAGAGCGCUGGCCCGACACUAACAGCACCAGUGUGAGUAGGUGUGAGCGCUCUCCCAGGAAGACCAGUGCAAGACCAGGCACAUCCAGGGUACGGGACAGCCCCACCUGUACACUUGGCCUUCUCCUCUCCCCCUGACAACCAGGAAGGCCUAGCCUCCUUCCGUAUUUGGCUCCUCUUUUUGUGUCUGAAAUCUCCCACUUGGCCAGCCAGAAGGGGCUGGAAUGGGCACUCUUAACUGUCACUCUUGACGGGUUUGAGAGACACCUGGAAGGUUAAUGCCAAUGUGAGUGUUUCCAGAGAAGGCUAGCUAAUGGGGUGUGUGUCCUGAAUGUGGGUGACAUCACGCAGUCUGAGGGCCCCAUGAAAGACAUGGGGGGUUAGCAUAGUCCCCCCCCAUCUCUCUAUCUACCUAUCUCUUCCCUUUGGCCAACACAGACACAGCAACGUUGCAGAACAUCACACUGUGCCAAAAACAGUCAGAGAUGUGGCAAGAUCAUCCAUGAGUCUCAGUUUUCAGCUGGGGUAUGGUGGGCCACACCUGUCAUUCCAGCACUGGGGAGGUGAAGGCAGGAGGAUCAGGAGUUCAAGGUCAUCUUUGGCUAUAUAGCUAUUGCGGACCAGCCUGGGAUAGAAGGCCCCAGUCUCAAAAAACCAAACCAAAUCCCAACAAUUAAAGAAGCUGCCAAUAGUUUGCAAACAUUAGCCUGGAAGACAUCCAUUGUCCAUCCAGGACACCAUCAAUACUAACAAUGUCCCAUAUCCAGGACACCAUCAAUACUAACAAUGUCCCAUCCCAGAAGUCUGUCCCCAAGAGGUGGCCCUCGCUGCACCACUUGCCUAGGAAGCAAAUUCUCUGAACAUUUUAUUUUGCCUUUGAUUCUUUUAAAAACAACAUUUAAAGUGGGGGGAGGGAGAGAGAGGGGGAGGGAGAGAGAGAGGGGCAGAGGGAGUUACGUGCUCGUGUGUGUGCACACUGCUACACAUGGGCAGAGGCCAGGAGAGGGCUCCAUAUGUCAUCACCCUCUGGUGCUCCCUGCCUUACUCCUUUGUGUCAGUGGUUCUCAACCUAUGGGUCACAAACAACCUUUCACAGGGGCCACAUAUCAGAUAUCCUGCAUAACAGAUAUUCAUAUUAUAAUUCAUAACAGUAGCAAAUUACAGUUAUGAAGUAGCAAUGAAAAUACUUGUAUGGUUUGGGUCACCGCAGCAUGAGAACUGUAUUAAAGGGUUGCAGCGUUAAGAAGGUUGUGAACCACUGCUUUGAGGCCUGGUCUCUCCCUGAACCUUGGGUUCUUUUUUCUUCAGCUAGUCUGGAAGCCGGUAAACCUCAGGGAUUGUCCAGUCUCAGUCCUCUACAGAGCUGGGGUUACAGGCAAUGGAGGGAUUCCCAGCCUAUUUCUUACAAGCUAGGAUCAGAACUCGUGAUUAUAGAACAAGUGCUUUUAGCCACUGAGACAUCUCUCCAGUCUCCAGUUUUGCUACCUCUUCACGGGAAGAAGGGCUGAAAUGAACAAGCCCAAAUUAGACCUACUAUACACAUCCCACAAGGCCUAGUCUGGGGAAGCCAUGGGACCACGGGAGGUAGCACUGGCUUAAAAUGAACACCAACGAUAUUCUUCCUCUGUGUAACCUUGUGCUCACACCAGUCCCAUCCAGACGCUAGCCUCCUCUUUCUAAAAGCCUCGUGAGACUCGGGCAUCUUAAAAGCAAUCCUCUAACACUCACAGUGAUGCAGAAGCAUGGACUCGGAAACCCCGUGCACCUCGAACUGCGAACUGCGUUAGAGGAUUUGGGUCAAGGCGGUGUCCUGGCUGAAGGAACCCUACAGUCCAGACUCCUGAAUUCCUGAUGGCCGUCAGGUAGCAUACCAGAACCAGGGGUGGGGGUCGGGGUCGGGGGGUUGGGUGGGGAGAGGGAACGACUCAACUCUUCGGAACACAACACCUCAGAAUGCAAAACCAAUCAGUCCUCUGGCCUGUGUCGCUGGGUCUAUGGUAUCACCCUUCCUCCUUGUGAGGGACAGGUGUGUGCUUGCAGUGUGGAGAAGCAGCAGUUUCCUUAGUCUGUAGUUGCGGACGCCUGCCUGGCUCGGUGGGUAAGGCAGUGCCAGAAUAUCACCAUCUCCCUCCCAGACGACAAUGAGCAGACCGGCCCUGAAAAUACCAAACCCACUCCUGUGCCUUUUAGGCCCCCUACCCUUAACUCCUUCUCAACACAUGGCUGCAGAAGCAUGCAGCAUAGAGAAAGGGGCUUCUGGAGAGGGGACCACACUGUUUUUGCUUUCAGCUUCAACUCUCCCCCAACCCCACGAAUCAUCUACAAGGUCUGAAAGAGGAAAAAUUAAUAAAGGUCUAAAACCUAGACUCCAAAGCCCAAAAAGAAAACUCUGAGUUCCCAAAAGGCAACUCAGCAGACAAGGUUAAACAAAGGUCCACAGGACUCAAGCCCUUAGACCAGAUACCACAUCCUAGAAUGGUGUCCACAUUCCUCUGGUUCAAAGAGGGUCAGAUAGUUAUCAAUUGUAGAAGUCCCCAGCCCAGGAGAUAAUUAACAAACUCAUUUCCUCUGCAGCAUCCUGCUUCAUUGCACCUUGCCUGAAGCACACAACCAUUGCCCUGUCCUGUGUAACCACGGAAGUUCUGUAAUCUUGGGGCUUCCAGCCCUACAAUUUCCCUUAUAAAAACACCCCUCAGUCGAAAGUGGGGACUCCAUUUGUUCCCGAACGAAUGGGGUCCUUGCUGCAGCUCAUAUCCUCGAGUCAAUAAAGAAAGCUUUGUCCUUGCACUCGGUGAGUCGUCUCCUUGUUGGCGGGUUCUUUUGGGGUUCCGAAUUCUGGGCACAACAGGUCUGAGGAUGUGGGGCUCAGUUGGUAAAGUGCUCACCACCCAGCAUGCACGAGGCCCUGGGCCCUAGUGCCAGCCACACAUAAACCGGCCGCAGGGUUGGAAGUCUCAGGAAGUCAUCCUCAGCUGUACACGGAGUGCAGUCAGCUUGGGCUGUGUGAGACCCUCAAACCAACAAUAAAUACACAUAAGGACCCUCAGAGACAUCCAAAGCAGGCUGAUGAGACCGCUCAGCAGGUAAAGGCGCUUGCUGCCAAGCCCCAGAACCCAAGGUAGAAGGAGACAAGUAACUCCCAAAAGCUGACCUCUACACACAUGCUUCAGCACACACACGCCUGCACAUACACACUAAUAGUAAAUAAAAUAAAAAUAAGUCAUCCUAGACAGAGUUGGGAAAGUCAAAGUCCUGGCUUUGAUCUCAGGCUUGUUCUUCUUCCCUUUCCUCCGGCCUCAGUUUCCCCAUUUGCAAGAGCAGCAGAUUGGACUUCUGAAGCUAAGGCUUCUGCUGGUUCCAACAUCCUAGGUCCACAAGUGACCCGCAUGCAAAUGGGAGGGCAGCUGAGCCUGUGAAUCUAGGCCAGGGGAUACAGGAGCCCGAGUAAACAGCUAAACCGCAGCAGGCAGCGGGCCAGGGCUAACCAGCUGUUCUGAGGUAGGACUGGGGCUUGAGAGAAUGGAAUGAGGAGUCAACCCAAGGUGUGGUAGCCAGGACAGCUUAGCAUAUGCCCACCUGACAGAUCACUGGUCCUGGUCUUGGGCCAUCUGGAAGUGGCUAUGGCAGCCUGGUCUGUGGCAGGGGAAGGAAAACCAAACAAACACUGCCAGGACAGGAGGCCUGGUGCCAAGGCCGGGGAAAAAAAAAAAAAAAACACUGCCAGGCGAGGCUAGGCUGUGCCACCUGUCCAGGCUGGGGAGAAGCAGGACUCAGUGGAACGUCCAGUAAGACCCAGAGGCUAAGAAAUCAUCCAAGCUGACCCCCCUCGUGGCCAGGCCCUCUGGGGAUCACAUGAAGAAGAACCAGAGGGAGUUUGGGCGUGCCCCCAACUGCUGGCCCUUCUGAGUUACAUGGGUCUCGUGAAGUGGCAGGUGGACAGCUGGAAGCUCCCCUCUCCACCUGCUACACUGCAGGAUCCUUCUGUAGCCUCCAGGCAAUGAGAGAGUCUGACACAGAGGGUGUUCUUGAGGAUGCUAAGUGCAGCAUGUACUCCCUUGUGUGCCAGAGCACCAACCAUAAAAGUGAAAGGAAACAGCAGCCAGACACAGGCUCCUCACGUCCCAUUGGGAGGACACUAGAA